GCUUCUAACUUCCCUUGGCUGCUCUUCCUGUGAACUCAGCUGUGUCAGCUUAAAAUGUGGCUUAUGAAAGGCCCUGGUAAAAACUAUGCAAUAGGGAGCAGCUUGGACAGGUGUAGGAACAUGUUAAAUCUGACUUGAGCCCAGUGCUGGCUCCUUGCCUCGGUGGGAGCACUGGCAGACGUCUGAGCUGACACUUGAUUGCAGUUGGGACCAGCUAAGUAUUUGCACAUUAAGAAUGAGGAAGGUUGUUGGACUGACUGGCAGUAGCUACGGAAGCCUCCAUAAGACAUCCCUAUCUGACCACGUGCCAUAUUUCUUUUAGAAAGACACAGGUAUUUCUUCUCCUGGGCACUGUGGCUCAGGUCCAUAGUGUCAGAACACAAUUCAUGUAAAAUGAGGUGGAGAGCUUAGACUAAUGAGGAAAGAUGAGCUACUCAGAAGAACAGAUCAACAAGCUAGUGCACCUGUGUAAUAUGAAUGUGCACAAAUCCCAAGCCAUGAUAUACUGCCUUCCUGAGGUGCUGGGUUGUAGAGCACAAAUUUUCUGCUUUGUGGUCUUGCUGCAUGGAUGAUGAGGUGGCUGAUGCUCUGAUACAAACAGCUAAGUAGAGUGUUGCUAAGGCAUUUGCAAAAUAGGGUGUCUUGUGUACUUUUUGUAAGAGAUGCUUUGCUUUUGCAAGCUGCAUCCAUAGUCUCAGUGUUCUCACCUUCCUCCUGGAGAGCCAGUCACAGGCUUAGGUUUUGCAGAUUUCUUGUCUCUUCUCUGCCACAAAAAAAAAACCUACAACACUUUGACUGGAAAAUCCCCCAUCUGAUACACAGCGUGUCAACAGGUACAAGCAGUACCAAUUACUGCUUGAAAACUCUGCUGAAGACAAUAUUUUUCUCUGCCCGAGGUUUACUCCUGUCUGUGCUCCCAUCUUCAGAGGAUGAACUGGAAGCGGUUUGCCAUGGCUGCAAGAAGCAGGAGGGUGCAUGAAGUCUGAAGUGCAUGAGAUGUUACGGCUUUAUUUUCUUGGUAGAUGGAAAGAAGCCUGGAUCUGACCCUGCAAAUUCUUCAUGUGGAGAUGGAAAUAGGGCCCGUUCUGCUCCUCUCCAGAGAAGUGGAGAGGAAGCAGUGGUUGCCAUGGAGCCUUCUUGCCCUCUGCUGUUGGGUAUUUCUGUGCUGUUGUGUGCAUAUACCUGCUGCACAGCAAGCUGCCCUCAAGGAAACAGCACUAACCGUCCCCAUUCACGGGCCGUGCAGCAGUUCAUCCGAUUUGAUUCCGACUAGGCAGUUACAGAGCAGCACAGCUGACAUCUAUUUAAUAAAAACGAGGCUUUCAGUUCAGU